CCGGGACAGAAGCGCAGCAGUGGGAACACGCAGGCGAGGCCGCUCGUGGGGCCUGCACAGAGUCGUCCACUCAGUGCUGUCCUCCUGGAAGUACAGACAGAUGGACAGGCGGAAAGGAGGACUCCCCCUCAGUGGAAGAGCCCGCGGAGGGAAGCAGGGGCACUGGGGGCGCAAACCUCAGUGGGUUGUCCUCUGAUGGCAGAAACAAGACCAAGACAUCAGACAACUCCCAUCCAGGCCCGAGUGUAGACCCGUGCGGAAGGACGGGGGAGGGGGGAUGCUCCCCGCAGAGGGAACAGGACGGGGUCCCUGCAGACGGAGCAGGACGGGGGCCCACGGAGGGAAGAAGGGGGGCCCUGCAGCUGGAACAGGACGGUGUCCCCGCAGAGGCUCACACCUGCUGGAGAGGUUCAGGGGCCCUGCGGGCCUCGGGUUCUGUGCUCAGACACGCGGACCCCGUGGAGGGGGGCUGCAACCUGCUGGGCCUCGGCCCUCGGGUUUUCUGGUUAUGACUCCAGCGCGGUCGGGGCGGAUCGCUUCAGUCUUACUACCAGAUGCACAGAUCCUGCUGUGUAGAUGUGUCAUAUUGACGGAAGGUUUGAUGCGAGGCUCUGGAUCUGCCCCAGGCUCUCUAGCUCUACCUUUGGCCUCCUGGGUGAAGAAGAAAGGGGGAGGCAGGUAAGGUGAUGGGAGGCAUUAACCGCAGCCCGGGUCUCAGGAAUCCAUGUGAGUCCAGGGCUGGCCUCUCCCCGCCUCUAACCGCAGUAACCGGAAGCCACGGCCCCAUAGCGGAGUCGCGUGUGCAGGGUCACCUCACGCAGUGGGGCCCAGGACCUCAUGUGACUAGGUCCAAGCUCCCCAGACAUGUAGCCUCCGAGUGGGCCCUGGGGGCUCAUCUGUCACACAGCCGUGCGUGCCAUCCCCAGAGGAGGAGCUGGUCCCCAUAAGACCCUUCUGUCCCCACAGGUGGGUGACUGCCCCCCAAAUCAUCUUUUUUGGUGUUUAGGACUUCCUUUUUUUUUUUUUUUUAAAGAUUUUAUUUAUUCCUGAGAGACCCAGAGAGAGGAGAGACACAGGCAGAGGGAGAAGCAGCUCGGCGCAGGAAGCCCGAUGUGGGACUCGAUCCCGGGACCCGGGGUCGCGCCCUGAGCCACAGGCCGACUCUCCGCCGCUGCGCCCCCCACGCCCCGACUGUUGCAGGCGCGGCAGGUAGUCAUGGUGUCAUCGCCCAGGGAUGGGAGACAAGAACGAGCUUCAGGAACUGUGCUUAGGAAGAUGGGCCGCAGUAAAUUCUCCAGGCUAUUGGUUGGAUCCUGGAAGAUCUACACCACAGAUCAAGAGCCCUGAUCGCUCGGAGCCAGGGACAUGGUGGUACUAGUGUCCCGAUGAAGACGACCAAGCCUAGACGCACAAAGGGUGUGCCCCUGAAACCCCGGGUCAGCUGGGUCCAGCAUCUCCUUUAAAGACCAGCGGGAGAGCAGUUUAAUGCAGCCGGUGAUUGGCCCUGGCACGCAGUCCCGUUUGCAGACGUCAUCCCCCAGAAUGUCAGCUCUGACCACUGGGGUAGCCCACGGCCUGCCCUCCCGCCUGCACCCACGACGUUGGUCCGAACGUUUAUGUACCAGGGUCCGUGCUGUUUAUUCGUCUAAGAACAUUUCCAACCGGUGCUGUGCUUGUUUAUUCACUCUGGGCACGGGCCCAGCAACCUCUGACCAAUAUGGCCCCUAUACCCGAAACGACGCAGGAAACGGGGACAGCGAGCCAGGGAACACGUGGCAGCAGCACCACGCGAGCAGCACCACAUUUCAGCAAAACAAUUGCUGCUGGGGGAAUCCCUGGGUGGCUCAGUGGUUUGGUGCCUGCCUUUGGCCCA